rnacentral:rRNA from 1 species
AGCUGACGUACGAGGAUGGGCCUGCGUCCUAUCAGCUAGUUGGUGGGGUAGCGGCCUACCAAGGCGACGACGGGUAGCUGGUCUGAGAGGAUGAUCAGCCACACUGGCACUGGAACACGGGCCAGACUCCUACGGGAGGCAGCAGUGAGGAAUUUUGCGCAAUGGCCGCAAGGCUGACGCAGCAACGCCGCGUGGGUGAUGAAGGCCUUCGGGUCGUAAAGCCCUGUCAGGUGGGAAGAAAGGUUUCAAGGGGAAAGACUUGGGAUUUGACGGUACCACCAGAGGAAGCACCGGCUAACUCCGUGCCAGCAGCCGCGGUAAUACGGAGGGUGCGAGCGUUAUUCGGAAUUACUGGGCGUAAAGCGCGUGUAGGCGGGGAAGCAAGUCUGAUGUGAAAGCCCUGGGCUUAACCUGGGAAGUGCAUUGGAAACUGUUUUUCUUGAGUACUGGAGAGGAAGGGGGAAUUCCCGGUGUAGAGGUGAAAUUCGUAGAGAUCGGGAGGAAUACCAGUGGCGUAGGCGCCCUUCUGGACGGUAACUGACGCUGAGACGCGAAAGCGUGGG